CAGUUUUUUGGUUUCUAAAUUCUACUUCAAUAAAGCUAUUUUUAAAAAGAGGAAGAACGAUACAGGCUUGGGGGAAUCUUCGAGGCCUGGCUCCAGCUCCACCUCCCCCACUCCCAGGCCCCAAGCAGGCCGCUGGGUGGCAUCUGUAAAAUGGGUCUCUACCAGAGUUUUGCGAGGCUGCGAGCAUCCCAAGCAAGGUGUUGACAGCCGUGAGCUACAAAGCUUCUACCUGGAACCCCUCCUCUUCUCCCAGGCCUCAGGGCAGACACUCUGAGAAUUCUCCCUUGACCCCUGGAGGCCACGCCCCGGCACGUGUGUCUACCUGGAGCACCGCUGUCAUUUGCCUGGACACAUGUGAUCGAGAGGCCGUUUGCUCCCCUCACCCAUCCACCAUUACCCUGAGCGCCGCGGUGGAAUGGAGCACAUAGAAUCCACGUGGGACAGCCAGAGGGAUCCUGGCGGCACUGAUGGGAGCUGCUCAUCUAUCGUACGACAACUGCACGUGACUUACCCAUUCUGCGGUGGAGGAAUUCUACAAAGAGGCCCUUUGCCACUUGAUGUAUUGUUCCUUCAACUAUGGCACUGUCUACUUUCCCACCGCAGUGAUGUGCUACUGAGCUGCACGCUUCAGCCAAUGGAAUGGAAAAAGGGAUGUGUUGGACUGAUCUGGACCCGAGUAAGCCUGGGGCCAAGCUCCAGCCAGCCAGUCCCGUUAGGGUCAUGGCGGCUCGCACACCUAACGGCAAGGAGAGGAAAUGCUCGCACCGUUCUAGGAUUCUAUCAUCACUAGUGUUGAGUCUAAAAUCGUUCAACCGCGUUAAUCAUCAACUGUCUUUAUGAUGAGAUGCACAGCCACUAGAAUGGGGAAAAGAAAACCUACACACACGGGGAGCGAGAACUCCUGCUGGUUUCACAGCUCACAGCCAAAGCCUUUCAGAAGGUCAUGGAUGGAAUCCGCUCCGGCCUCCACCCUCCUGAGGCCCCUCUCCGUAAGAACUCAUAUAGCAGGGAAUUUAGCUGUGCAGUCAGCGUGGGUGGGUUCUAACCUUAGGCUCACCACUUCUCCUUGGGAAAGCCCCUUAGCCUCUCUCAGCCUCACUUGCUACAUCUGUAAAAUGAACAUAAAGCAAUUUGUCUUCUAGGAGAAUACAAUGGAGGUAGAGUUUUUAGCGCAUCCUCUUGUUCUUAUCCUUGUAUAAAAACCCUUUCCAGCUUGUCCAGUCUCAGGAAUGUUGAUGGCCUCUUUCCCUGAACACGCCACCCUGUAAGAUGAUGCAGGAUUGAGCUCAUAGAGAAAGGUGGAGACCACACGGGCACCACCCAGACGUAUGUGCCAGUGCCCACAACAGUGCCGAUGCAAACAGGCACCGAAUGAAUGAAUGUGCUUACUCACAGCACCAUCAAGUGUGCUCACAAG